UUUAACUGACUCUAGCAUUCGAUCUGUUUUAUAUAAAAAGUCUAGUAUUUGUUUCAUUUAUUUACGAAAAAUAAUUGGAUUUCUUUGAAAAUUGCAGGUUCAAUUGUUUCCCAAUUAGAUUGGAAGAUUCUGGCUGAGAAACCAUUGGGACCAGGCGCUUUACGAGCAUGUAUAGCAAAAGGGUUUAUGGUUCUCUCUAUUGCAUCGGAGCCAUCAAAGAGGAUGGACAUGAAGAGCUUGGCAUAGUACUUGCAGAUUGCAUCAGAGAUUUAUUCCUCUUCGAAUACAGCUAGCAGGAGUUUGUUGUUUAGGUCGUGGAUAGUUGCGUCAUUCGGAAUCGGGUUGGACAUGGCUGAGUCGAGUAGUUCUCUAAGGUUCUCAAUCGCCUUCCUGCUGUUCUCAUGGAAUUUCUUGCUCCAGGUACUCUUCUACAGAUAGAUAUGAGUGGGUGGUGAUGUGAGCCCUCAUACUUGAGGUAUUGGCUUCUGCAGGAUGAGAAGAUGUCUGUCCAUUCACUAUUACUCCGGGCCCUGUCUAGUCAACAUUGAACAAAGUGAUUGUGUCUCUUACCCCUCCAUGACAAGUAGCUUCCGUAGUGUUUUAGAUUAAAAAGAUCAUUCUAUGACAUGAAGGUUCUAAAGGCAUAGGAAGUGCCUUCAGCCCUGUUUGGUCCUCCCAUUUUUUCACUGUUGUCUAGAAUUUUAUUGAAGUCUCAUGUAAGGAACUAGGCUUCUCGUGGGUUAGGGUGUAGGGUAGCUAACUCUCCACAUUGCUUGUCUUUUGCUAUGAUCUGGUUCUCCAUAUACAAAUGUAACUUGGAAGGAGUGUCUUUUGUAGGAAAUUUUGGUAUCGAUGUAGUUUUGAGAAGAUUUUAGGACUGUGAGCUUGACAUCCUUUUUCCAACCAAGAAAAAGUCCUCCUCCUCUGGGGCUGUGGGGUGAAACAAUGUAAUAGUCCUCCAUAGUAGUCAUUGUAGGUCUUGUAGUACUUUUUCAUCGGGGUUUUUAGUUUCCAUUAGAUAGAUUUAUAUCUGGAGAAUUCUUCUUCUAGAUUUUUUUUUGCUGUUGGACUUUGGGAUUUUCUAACCCACAACAGUUCAAACUUGCUAUGACUAAAGACUCCAGGAUAGAGGAGCUUGAAAAUCCGAGCUUUUCUUGGUCAUUGGUGGGAUGAGUUGAAUGGUUGGCUGGUUGGAUAUGUUUGAUGAUCCUAUCCAUUCGUCGAAGGAUUCGGUGGGCCGGUGGGGUAUUCCUUUGAUUUUUACUUCCUCUUGGUGAUCACACAGUCCUAGGAGUUGACAUAAUUAGAGAUUGCAAUCUUUUCUUUGAGCUUGCUCCCUUGGGGAUCUUUGGACUAACUGCCUUGAAUUUUAAAACUGCAGGUGUCGCUCUCUUCCUCUUUGUGCCCACUUCAUUCUAACUUAGUUUUUCAAUAACUUUUCAGAUGUGUUAUAUACUUGCUGCAAGUAAGCAAAUGGCUUAAUCAACCUUUCGAUGUGAUCUUACUU